CCUACGGGUAGCAGCAGUGAGGAAUAUUGGUCAAUGGACGAGAGUCUGAACCAGCCAAGUAGCGUGAAGGAUGACUGCCCUAUGGGUUGUAAACUUCUUUUAUAGGGGAAUAAAAUGUUCCAGGUGUGGGAUUUUGUAUGUACCAUAGGAAAAAGGAUCGGCUAACUCCGUGCCAGCAGCAGCGGUAAUACGGAGGAUCCGAGCGUUAUCCGGAUUGAUUGGGUUAAAAGGGAGCGUAGGUGGCUUGUUAAGUCAGUUGUGAAAGUUUGCGGCUCAACCGGACAAUUGCAGGUGAAACGGGCAGUGUUGAGUACAGUAGCGGUGGGCGGAAUUCGUGGUGUAGCGGUUAAAUGCUUAGCUAUCCC
rnacentral:rRNA from 1 species